AUGCACGCUGGCGGCGUGCCUAAUACAUGCAAGUCGAGCGAACAGACGAGGAGCUUGCUCCUCUGACGUUAGCGGCGGACGGGUGAGUAACACGUGGAUAACCUACCUAUAAGACUGGGAUAACUUCGGGAAACCGGAGCUAAUACCGGAUAAUAUAUUGAACCGCAUGGUUCAAUAGUGAAAGACGGUUUUGCUGUCACUUAUAGAUGGAUCCGCGCCGCAUUAGCUAGUUGGUAAGGUAACAGCUUACCAAGGCAACGAUGCGUAGCCGACCUGAGAGGGUGAUCGGCCACACUGGAACUGAGACACGGUCCAGACUCCUACGGGAGGCAGCAGUAGGGAAUCUUCCGCAAUGGGCGAAAGCCUGACGGAGCAACGCCGCGUGAGUGAUGAAGGUCUUCGGAUCGUAAAACUCUGUUAUUAGGGAAGAACAAAUGUGUAAGUAACUAUGCACGUCUUGACGGUACCUAAUCAGAAAGCCACGGCUAACUACGUG
rnacentral:rRNA from 1 species